rnacentral:rRNA from 1 species
UACGUAGGAUGCUAGCGUUGUCCGGAUUUACUGGGCGUAAAGGGCGCGUAGGCGGCAUGACAAGUCACUUGUGAAAUCUCCGGGCUUAACUCGGAACGGCCAAGUGAAACUGUCAAGCUAGAGUGCAGAAGGGGCAAUCGGAAUUCUUGGUGUAGCGGUGAAAUGCGUAGAUAUCAAGAGGAACACCUGAGGUGAAGACGGGUUGCUGGGCUGACACUGACGCUGAGGCGCGAAAGCCAGGGGAGCAAACGGG